AUUGAACGCUGGCGGCAGGCCUAACACAUGCAAGUCGAACGGUAACAGGAAACAGCUUGCUGUUUCGCUGACGAGUGGCGGACGGGUGAGUAAUGUCUGGGAAACUGCCUGAUGGAGGGGGAUAACUACUGGAAACGGUAGCUAAUACCGCAUAACGUCGCAAGACCAAAGAGGGGGACCUUCGGGCCGCUUGCCAUCGGAUGUGCCCAGAUGGGAUUAGCUAGUAGGUGGGGUAACGGCUCACCUAGGCGACGAUCCCUAGCUGGUCUGAGAGGAUGACCAGCCACACUGGAACUGAGACACGGUCCAGACUCCUACGGGAGGCAGCAGUGGGGAAUAUUGCACAAUGGGCGCAAGCCUGAUGCAGCCAUGCCGCGUGUAUGAAGAAGGCCUUCGGGUUGUAAAGUACUUUCAGCGGGGAGGAAGGGAGUAAAGUUAAUACCUUUACUCAUUGACGUUACCCGCAGAAGAAGCACCGGCUAACUCCGUG
rnacentral:rRNA from 1 species